rnacentral:rRNA from 1 species
ACAUGAUUCCCUCAGUAACGGCGAGUGAACAGGGAAAAGCUCAAAGUUGGAACCUGGUGGGCCUAGCCUACCCGGAUUGUAAACUAAAGUUUUUGGGUCGUUUAGUCAGCCAGAUAAAUAAGUCCUCUGGAAAGGGGCGACAUAGAGGGUGAAAUCCCCGUCUUUGGUCUGAGCAUGAUUAGGCGUUUGGCCUGGAAACGAAGAGUCAGGUUGUUUGGGAAUGCAGCCUAAAAUGGGAGGUAAAUCUCUCCUAAAGCUAAAUAUUGACGAAAGACCGAUAGCGAACAAGUACCGUGAGGGAAAGAUGAAAAGCACUUUGAAAAGAGGGUCAAAAAGUACGUGAAAUUGCUGAAAGGGAACCGUAUAAAAUCAGACUUACUGAUAGGUAAUCAACCUUCCUCUUGGGGAGGGUGCACUUGCCUGUUAUUGUAUGCCAGCAAUACUUUGGUUGGGAGGAAAAAAGUAGGAGAAAUGUAGCCUAGGCUUCGGUUUAGGUGUUAUAGUCUUUUGCAAAAUACUCUCGGCUGGAGUAAGGAACGCAGCAAACCGUAAGGCGAAGAUUUUGGGCGCUUGGAAUUAAUAGUUGGAGAAUUUCUGCUUCGGGUGGUGCUUUAGCUAUUAGUUUUAACCCGCUUAAAGUUCUUUUAAUUUGCUUAGGUUGUUGGCUUAAUGA